UCCAAUGUGAGGGCUUGCU
rnacentral:misc_RNA from 1 species